rnacentral:rRNA from 1 species
AUAAGGAGUCGGACCUGCCCAGUGAAGCUUUUUAACGGCCGCGGUACCCUGACCGUGCAAAGGUAGCAUAAUCACUUGCCUUUUAAUUGGAGGCUGGAAUGAAUGGUUUGACAAGGAUACAACUGUCUCUUUAUAAUUUAUUAGAAUUUAAUUAUUAGGUUAAAAGGCCUAGAUAUAAUUGAAAGACAAGAAGACCCUAUCGAGCUUUAAGAAAUUAAUAAAAUUCUAAAAUAAUUAAAAUUACUAUUAAAAAUUUUAGUUGGGGCAACGGAGAAAUAACUAAAACUUUCUUUAACACAUCUUAAUUAACUCUUGAUCCAAUAAAAAUCUUGAUUAAAGGACUAGAGUUACCGUAGGGAUAACAGAGUAAUUUUUUUUUAGAGUUCCUAUCGAAAAAAGAGUUUUCCACCUCGAUGUUGGAUCAGAAUAUCCUAAAGAUGCAGCAAUCUUGUAAGGUUGGUCUGUUCGACCAUUAAAAUUCUA